rnacentral:rRNA from 1 species
UACGUAGGUGGCGAGCGUUGUCCGGAUUUACUGGGCGUAGAGGGAGCGUAGGCGGACUUUUAAGUGAGAUGUGAAAUACUCGGGCUCAACUUGAGUGCUGCAUUCCAAACUGGAAGUCUAGAGUGCAGGAGAGGAGAAUGGAAUUCCUAGUGUAGCGGUGAAAUGCGUAGAGAUUAGGAAGAACACCAGUGGCGAAGGCGAUUCUCUGGACUGUAACUGACGCUGAGGCUCGAAAGCGUGGGGAGCAAAUAGG